GCAGGCUGCAACUCGCCUGCAUGAAGCUGGAAUUGCUAGUAAUCGCGGAUCAGCAAGCCGCGGUGAAUACGUUCCCGGGCCUUGUACACACCGCCCGUCACACCAUGAGAGUCGGGAACACCCGAAGUCCGUAGUCUAACCGCAAGGGGGCGCGGCCGAAGGUGGGUCCGGUAAUUGGGGUGAAGUCGUAACAAGGUAGC
rnacentral:rRNA from 1 species